UUAUCCUAAAUUAAUCUAAGCCGUUGGAUCCUUCUAAAUUCUCAAAUAAAUUACGACCUCUUCCCAUCAUUCAUACAUACAUUUUCCUUCUAUGCCCAAUCACUGUUUCUCCAGAUCUCUUCCACGUAUAUUCUUUUCUUCAAAUUUCAUGUUCAGAUCUGUAUAGAUCGGUUUUCGAUCUACCUUUUGAAUAUGGAUUUACUGUGUUUCUAUAACAGCUCGGCGAUAGACCAACCGAGCGGUGUGACUGUUCGAUUUCCGUCGACUGUGGCCGUCGGUUCACGAGGAGCUGGUAGAUGUGAUGCUCUUCACAAUGGUUGGAGGGAGCUGAGCAUCAGAUCUGUUUGGUAUUCUGAGAUUUUGUUGAGGUUGGAGCAGUAGUUAGAGCAACCGAGUUGUUAUUUUACCGAGGAUUCAACCGUUGUUUGCUAGAACUUUAUCGAUCUGAAUAGAGAUGCAAAGGACUAUUGAAUCUGUGCUGCCGUCGUUUUGAAUCAAACGGUUUUGACCGGUAAUCAUUGAUCGAGGGUUGAAAUCAGCUAGCGUGACGGUGUAUCUAAGGUUAUACUAGUUAAUUUGAUGUCUAUAAUUACUUGAAUGGCUAAUGUGCAUUAUGUUUUUUUAAUUUAUGCAUGCAUAUGUACGAGAGGAUGAAAGAUUGAGCGACGUUGUGAGUUGCGAGAGGAAAGAGUGAGGUAUUUAUUGUUCAUGUCACAAGGCCUUUGCCAUGUUGGGUGCGCUCGCAUGGCAGGUCGAAAGUACCUAAUAAAAGUAUUUAUUUUUGGUUGUGGAGAGGAGAUGGCACGGUGUUUUGCCCGGCUCUCCUCUCUUCGUGUGUCUGCGUCCUUUUUUUUUCCUGCAAUUUCCUUGCUCCUGCGUUCAACAACUUUGCGUUGAUCCGGUGGUUACUUGUAAUUGAAUGGGCCUUGUGAUUACUGAGGUGACCUAUUCAAGGACAAGUAACUCAUGUUGAUUUACUUAACACGGCGAUGGAUGCAAGCAACGUUUCUACUGCAGCACGCCACUAGAGGUACAAUAUCAAUUCUCUUAGUUAAAGUUAACUUUCACAUUUCUCAUAACGGCUAUCAAUUCUAAACUAUUUGCCUGAGUUUUCACUCACACUAAUUUAUAUUUAUGUAAUUUCACUCCCACUCGAGGUACAAUAUCAGUUCUCUUCGCUGAAGUUACUUUAACAUUUCUCGUAAUGCCUAUCAGUUCUAAACUAUUUGCCUUAAUAUUCACUCAGACACUAAUUUAUAUUUAUAUAAAUUUUCUAAGCUGGUAUUAUGUUUAAAUAAAGCUAAAUUGCUCAUAAGUUCACCUUUUAAAGAAAAAACUGGAAACGUUAAUUAGACUUUUAAUGGUCCAAGGGAAACGUUUGUUUUAAUAAAUAUGGUAAUGGGAUUAACUAUUAAUUGUGGUUGGAUGUGAAAAAUUAAUGAUUUAUCACAAUUGGUGUUUUGCAAUAAUUUCAUCCCAACUGCAUGGUAAAUUCUAGUACGGAACCAAUCUCACCAUUUAACCUUCCUAAUAGUUGGCCGUUAGCAGAUCUUCUCAAGUUGUAAAGGUGUAGUAAUUAGUUAUUUAACUAUAUAUGAUGGAUAAACAUGGUGAAAUGAACAAGCUGUGUUCUAACAAAAAAGAGUGGGGAAUAAAACUAUGAUGACAUUGAAAAAGAGCUCGCUAACUGUGCAUAUUUAUUUUCCAAUUGUGGCCAUGUGGCUUAAUUCCUCAUCUCUUUUUAUGUUUAUACGAGCCUUAUUUUUGCAAAUAGUUUUUGACUUUUUGUUAUUCAUUGUUGAUGAGUUAAUUGUUUUUUUAGCAGUACCGCAUUUUUGGUAAGAUUGUAUUGGGAGUAUAUACAGUUAUGUUCUUCUAUUCAGUGAUGUAAAUGUUUCAAUCUAGUAGACAUUUUUGUUAUGGUACCUUUAUUGUAGUCAUUUGGGAGGGUACCCUUUGUAGGCAGGUUUGGAAUUUUGACCUUAAAGACAUAUCAUUGUACUCUGGUUAUGCCGUACGUGUUUCAGAUAGCUGUGGUUUUUAUUUAGCUGGAGGCCCGUUCGCACUGAUUGCAGUUUUCAACAAGUGCUUGAUAAGUGUUGUUCUUGAUGUUUGGACGUGGUGACUGAGAAGAUCUGUUUGCACCGAGCUCGUCAAUAAAUGUUUGAGAUGCUGCUGCUGUUGAAGAUUUGGUAGCUUUUUUUUGCUGUGCUUUCUGCAUGAGAUAUCUUUGUUUUGAAAUUUGCACUGGGAUAUUUCACUUUGAGGAUUUUGUGAGACUCGAGUUUGUUACUGUGGUUUUUACUUUGUUUUGAAGUUGUGGUUUCGUUUAAUCAGCAAGUUCUGCCAGCAGUUGGAUUUACAUGUAUCCUGGCUAAGUGUUGUCAGUCAGUAAUUCCCAAGGAAUUUCUAGAUAUGUUCCUUAACUAAUUUUUGAAUCGACGAAGCACACGGAAAUGUCUUUUGAAGCUAGCACUUUUAGUGCUGGUAUGGAAUUUUGUUGGGGAGUAUUUUUCCCUCAUAAAUUUCGUUGCGAGGAACUAAUAUCUCGUCCCAGACGUAGGCUGGUUGGCAUCCUUGAGGGCAUGAAUAUUGGAUAUACCCAAGUUGGAGUAUUUCUCGUGUUUGUACGAAUGCAGUUUUUAUACUGGCCAUAAAAUGCGAUUGAUUUUUCUGCUGUUGUGAAUCUGCCGGUUCGGCUGUGUCCAGAUGGAGAAAUUUCUGUUGGACAGAUAGUUAAUUCUCCCGUGAAAAUUUGUUUCAGAUUGUCUCUUUAUUUAUUAGCAGAAAGGAAAUGGCCGGCUAAUUCUCCCGUGAUAAUUUGUUUCAAUUUGGCUCUUUAUUUAUUAGCGGAAAGGAAAUGACCGGCUGGAAUUUUACUUGAAGUGGGAGUAAUUCUUUGGGUUGUUUAUGUUUUGUGGUCGUCUUGGUAGUGUAGAUUCAACAUCAAUAAAAGGUUGUUGAAGUUUGUGAAUAUUUUAGAUUGUUAUUAUUGAUCCUGUGUAACCUGUCAUGGUAAAGCGGUAUUAAGUUUUGUUUAGUCUGUCAAUACUUGCUGCCGUAGAUUACUGGAUGGUCUUAGAAUUUGUGGUUACAUCAAUGGUAAUGCAUUGCUUUUUUUACGGACCACUAACAAAUUGGUGAUAAAGCAUUGUUCCUAAUUCCCUACAAGGAAAAUAGAGGAUGCUAUUUCUAUAUGGGAGAACAUCUAAAACAAAUAACUGCGCUAGAGAGUAGUGGGGGUGUCAUGGCUGUCUUUGGGACUCUCAAGUAUAUGACAUGUAUAAGGGAAAAAGUUAUUGUAAAUGUUAUAAAUAUAUUAUAUUAUGGAUGUUCA